rnacentral:rRNA from 1 species
UACGGAGGGUACGAGCGUUAAUCGGAAUUACUGGACGUAAAGCGUGCGUAGGCGACCUGUUAAGUCAGAUGUGAAAGCCCUGGACUCAACCUGGGAACGGCAUUUGAAACUGGCAAGCUAGAGUUAGGUAGAGGGAAGUGGAAUUUCAGGUGUAGCAAUGAAAUGCGUAAAUAUCUGAAGGAACACCAGUGGCGAAGGCAACUUCCUGGACCCAAACUGACGCUGAGGUACGAAAGCGUGAAUAGCAAACAGG